ACUCCUACGGGAGGCAGCGGUAGGGAAUAUUGGUCAAUGGACGCAAGUCUGAACCAGCCAUGCCGCGUGAAGGAUGAAGGCCCUAUGGAUUGUAAACUUCUUUUGUAUGAGGAUAAACUUUUCUACGUGUAGAAAACUGAAGGUACCAUACGAAUAAGGAUCGGCUAACUCCGUGCCAGCAGCCGCGGUAAUAC
rnacentral:rRNA from 1 species